rnacentral:rRNA from 1 species
AUUGAACGCUAGCGGGAUGCUUUACACAUGCAAGUCGAACGAGUGGCGGACGGGUGAGUAAUAUAUCGGAACGUGCCCAAUAGCGGGGGAUAACUACUCGAAAGAGUGGCUACAACCGCAUACGAUGGGAGCGGCCGAUAUCGGAUUAGCUAGUUGGGGGGGUAAAGGCUCACCAAGGCAAAGAUCCGUAGCUGGUUUGAGAGGAAGACCAGCCACACUGGGACUGAGACACGGCCCAGACUCCUACGGGAGGCAGCAGUGGGGAAUUUUGGACAAUGGGGGAAACCCUGAUCCAGCAAUCCCGCGUGUAUGAGAAGGCCUUCGGGUCGUAAAGUACUGUUGGCAGAGAAGCGGUAUCUGAAGAAUAAGCACCGGCUAACUACGUGCCAGCAGCCGCGGUAAUUC